GUAUUAUUAAGGUAUUUGCUCGUGUGUUUGUGUAUCUGCAUAGUACUGUAUGGGAACUGCUGAGUCAUGGUCUGAACCACUAAUUGAGUGCCUGGAGACAAGACCAGGUCAGCCCUGGAAGCGCAGGUGAAGGUAGUUCACAUCUUAGACCUCAUUUAAGGGCUGACUGACACUGAGAAAGGGUCUUUUGCUGGAGAUCCCUCUUCUGUGGAGUUUUUUCUGCAAGCCUAGAUCUUCAGAAAUGGGAGGACCUAAGCCUUCCUUGUCGAAAUCUGUGUUACAGCAGACAUUCAGCUGCCUUCCUUCUAAUGAUGAACUUCUGUGCAUUGGAUAAGACAACGACUGCUGUUGUCAUGCAUCCAUUAAAAUCCCAUCCACAGAACCAUGUACGGAGAAGGGUGGCUGGCUGGGAGCUGCAAACUUCCAAAGAAUUUGUUUGUUGUGAUGUUUUUUUCCUCUCUGGAGUGCUGGAUUCAUAAUAUUUGCAGUAUUGUGUUACUGUUGAUGUACCUCAAUGAAACGGAGAGAAAAUUCAAGAAAUAUGAAUUGAUUGUAUGAAGCAACAUAUGCAAAUACUGAAAAUAAAAGCUGCCAACAUUGUGACAGGAAUGGCAUUAGCAGAUGAGUCAGGAGUGUGAUGAAGCCAUAUGGCCUUGUGAUUAUGUUGAAACUAAGGAUAGCUACUCAAGGGAUUACAUGCUCUUCUACUUCUGAGAAUGAAGAAUGUGCACUGUGAGCACUUUAGUGUCCUGGUCAGCUACAUCACCCUUUGCAGCAUCUGUGAAAAUCAAGGAAAGGUUCAAUACUUUCCUCAUGAGGAUAAAUCAUGUAAGAACCAGAAAGAGCACAGGUAAACAGGAUUGAACAGAGACUUUUCUCUGUUUCCAUACCAAUUUCCUAGCACUGAUGAUAUAUUAAUAUAAGAUAAUAUUUCUUUAUCCACAGCAGGUUGAUUGAAUGUGAAAAGUGCAUAUUGGUAAGCAUUGAGAAUAGAAGAUAAAUGCAAUUGAGUUAUAACAUAGGAACAGUCUCACUAGAGAACACAGUAAGAUUAAAUGCUAGAGGAUGUCCAAAAACUAAUCAUGUCCUCUUCCACAGUAGAAAUGCCUAUAACACCAUGCUGAGAUGGUAGUAGCUCAAGUGAGUGCCAUCUGACAACAGUUUAAAAGGUAUUUCUUUGGCUUUCAUCUGACUAAACUUAUCUCAUGAAAAGUCUGUGUUCUGACAAGAACUCAGCAUUGUUAAGAAGGAACCUGGAGAAAAAUCAGAUCACAGAAUCAUAGAAUCAUCGUCUAGUUUAACUGUCCACCUACCACCAAUAUUUCUCCAUUAAACCAUGUCCCUUCGUACAACAUCUAAACAUUUCCUGAACACCUCCAGGGCUGGUGACUCAACCACCUCCCUGGGGAGCCCCUUCCAGUGCCUGACCACUCUUUUGGAGAAUAAUAUUUUCCUAAUAUCCAGCCUGAACCUCCCCGGCAAAACUUGAGGCCAUUCCCUCUAGCACCAUUACUAGUUAUGCUGGAGAAAAGGUUGGCCCCCACCUCACCACAACUUCCUUUCAGGUAGCUGUAGAGCUAUAAAAUCUUCCCUGAACCUCCUCUUCUCCAGACUAAACAAUACACGUUCCCUUAGCCAUUCCUUGUAAGAUUUGUGCUCUAGCCCCCCCCAUGGCCUUUGUUGCCCUUCUCUGGACAAGUUCCAGGGCCUCACUGUCUUUCUGUUAGUGAGGGGUACAAAACUGAACACAGUACUCAAGGUGCUGCUUCACUAGAGCUGAGUACAGACGAACAAUCGCUUUCCUACUCCUACUGGCAACGCUAUUUCUGAUACAAGACAGGAUGCCAUUGACCUCACUGUCCACCCGGGCUCAUGUUCAGCCAAGUGUUGACCAACGCCUCCAGGACCCCAAAUCAGACACAAGCUGGUUUUAUUAUCUAAUUUUCAGUGUUUAUGGAAGAUGCAACUUAAUUUAAAAGGUCUGAAUGCCUCUUUUCUUUCCCUGUCGUUCAUGAGAACAAUCAAACAGAUCCUCACAGAUUUCAAGAACCAGAACCCAGCGUGAACACCAGAAUGAUAAGGGGAAACAUUCAGAUGCUUUCAAUGGCAAAAGAAAAUUCAUAAACUGCUUAUAAUGAAGAAGUGAUUGUUGAAAAUUGAGUUUUCUGUUCUUGUACUUUACUGGCAUUCAGCUCUUCAAAGCGAUAGCAAAUAUUCUAUUGGUUAACAUUUAACCCAAACUAAUAGGUCCAAUCUCACAUUCUCAAAUAAAUCAUAAUGUCUUUUCAAUUAGUUUGCACUUUCACUGGCUGCUGUCCUGAAUAAUUAGGAAAACAAUUCACAUUUCACUAGGAGAUGAUAUGAAGUGUUAUUCCUGUGAUAAUUAGCGAGCUGCAGUUCAGCUUCCCUGGCUCCCACCAGGUCAUCAGGGCACAAAAGAGGACACCAUGAGAGCAUUAAUGAGCUCUCAUUGAAGAUGUUAAAAAGCUUGUAUUGAUCUGUUUGUCCAAGAAGGAGAUAUUUAAGCCUUUCUGCUGAGGGCAGGAGAGACAGAGAUUCAUAUCACAAAGCCUUUUAUCCAACCCCUUCUGUUUCUGGCUUCAAUAUUGCCCAGUCUCAGCAUGUCUGGUUCUAGAGGUCAUACUUUUAAACUUUCACAACAUUUUUUUUCUUUUCCCCUUUCUUCUUUUUGUUUAAAAAAAAAAAAAAAAAAAAAAAAGGAAAGAAAGAAAAAAGGGUAAUAUACAGUGUACACUUAACCUUUACUACAGGGAUCCCUUUACACAGCUCGCUGUUUCUGAGAACAGGCUUCAGUGCAGUAAGAUUUCCGUUCUCACUCUAUCCCGCUCACAUUCAUCUCAAUUAAAUUCAGAGAGUCUAGACAAUACAAGGACCAACUCAGUGCAAAUUUUUGCUCAUAGUUUGGAAGCACAUCCAACAAAAUCACUUUUUUUGGAUGUUCAAUCAGACUUUUCUCUCUAUUGUCACCGCCUUUUUUGUGAACUCCUGGACUUACUAUUUCUAGCUGGAAGUAGAAGUGAAAGAAGUAAGUGUAAGGCUGCAAAAUCACCAUUUCUUGUGGUAUUUUCACAUGAGGUUUCUCACUGCAGGAAAGGGAGGCAAAUCCUGUCCUGCCUUCAACACUCUGCAUUGUUAUGAUAUAUUGCAGCAGUAAACUUGUUCUGGGUACACUUACCUACUCACCAAUUUUGUCUACUCUCUUUUAAGUGCCACAAUGAGCUGUCAGUGAGGAUUCCCAGCCUGCCUGUGAUAGAGUUUGGGAUGAAUUUUCAUAUAACUGUAAAAGCUGUGGGUUUUUUGUUUUGUUUUGUUUUUGUUGUUGCUUUUUAAUUAUUAUCAUCCUUCUUACUUGAACUAGCUAUGGUCUCACUCAGCAAGAUCGUAUCUCUCUUUUCAUAGUAUCUCAUUCACAUUCAACUCUGUAGGAGCAAUUCAGCGGGUCCAUUUGUGUGUAUCCAUUGUAAAUGGCCAAUGAAGUAAUACUCUGGGACCUCUAGAUGAAUGCAGAAUCCUCAGUACACUUCUUUGUUUUUUCAUGGUCUGCCUCACCUGACACAGCAGGCUGGUGGAUGAACCUCACAACCAACAUUGGGAAUUCUGCAGCCUGCUUCUACUUACCUUGUAUCAACUCAAGAUUAUCAGUUUCAGAUGAAAAUAAACAUGAAUGAAUGCACACACAAAUUAUUCUUGCUGUGAUGUGAUGCAGUAAUCUCCAGUUUGGGAACUGAGCUGGCAAAAGAGGUCAUAUGCAUCCUUCCACUUGUGACCAUUUAAAAAAGAUGUGAGGGAACGAUUCAUGAACAAGUAAAAUUGGACAUGGGUAGCAAAUAGUGACCCUCGGUGAGUGACAACUGAGGUUAUGUGGAUGAAUACUAAACAUGAAAAGCCUGAAUUAUUCAUGGGAGGUUCAAGGUAAAAGGGU
ensembl:lncRNA